rnacentral:rRNA from 1 species
UACGUAGGGGGCAAGCGUUGUCCGGAAUCAUUGGGCGUAAAGAGCGCGUAGGCGGUCCGGUAAGUCCGCUCUGAAAGUCCGGGGCUCAACCCCGGGAGGCGGGCGGAUACUGUCGGGCUAGAGUCCGGAAGAGGCGAGUGGAAUUCCUGGUGUAGCGGUGAAAUGCGCAGAUAUCAGGAGGAACACCAAUGGCGAAGGCAGCUCGCUGGGACGGUACUGACGCUGAGGCGCGAAAGCGUGGGGAGCGAACCGG